rnacentral:misc_RNA from 1 species
AAGUCGUAACAAGGUUUCCGUAGGUGAACCUGCGGAAGGAUCAUUACAAAACAAAAUCCAAAUCACACCAAAUGUGCUCUAUAAAUGCAGAGAGUCUGCAGAAAUUCAUGUAUUUGUGUGUGUGGUGUGUGUGUGUGUGGGUGUAUAUGCUGUUUGUUAUGUUUGUGUUUGUGAGAGAGAAAUUAACCUUUUUCUCACACACUCACACACAUAUACAUACACAUACACACACACAUGCAUACACACACACACACACACACAAGCAUAUACAUAUUUUUCACUACAUGCUGGCUCUCUUGCAUUGUCUUUGUUUAUCAAUUUUUUCAUUAACUCCUUGUUUAACCAACAACGGAUUACAAUGUUAAAACUUGAAACAAAAAAACAAAACAAAAUGACAACUUUUAACGGUGGAUCUCUUGGCUCGU